UACGAGGGGUGCAAACGUUAUUCGGAAUUACUGGGUGUAAAGGGUGCGUAGAUGGUUGAUUAAGUCAGUUGUUAAAUUCCUUAGCUUAACUAAGGGUCAGCGAUUGAAACUGAUUAACUAGAGGAUGAGAGAGAGAAGUGGAAUUCUCGGAGUAGCGGUAAAAUGCGUAGAUAUCGAGAGGAACACCGAUGGCGAAGGCAGCUUCUUGGCUCAUUUCUGACAUUGAGGCACGAAAGCGUGGGGAGCAAACAGGAUUAGAAACCCGAGUAGU
rnacentral:rRNA from 1 species